rnacentral:ncRNA from 1 species
AGAUGAGAGAAACACCCCGCCCGCAGGGGACUGCGGGCGACGCCCGGUCGGCGCCUCCCCGGCUCCGGUCAGGCCGUGCCCUCGCGCACGACACCGGGACCCCUGGCACAGGCGGCUCCGGGAAUCCUCACGGAUCGGA